UAGGGAAUAUUGCGCAAUGGAGGAAACUCUGACGCAGCGACGCCGCGUGGGUGAUGAAGGCCUUCGGGUCGUAAAGCCCUGUCGGAAGGAAAGAAAAGUAACAUGGCUAACAUCCACAAUAUUUGACGGUACCUUUAAAGGAAGCACCGGCUAACUACGUGCCAGCAGCCGCGGUAAUACGUAGGGUGCAAGCGUUGUUCGGAAUCAUUGGGCGUAAAGCGCGUGUAGGUGGUUAUGUAAGUCGGGUGUGAAAUCCCUGGGCUCAACCGAGGAAGUGCAUCCGAAACUACAUAGCUAGAGGACGGUAGAGGAAGGUGGAAUUCCUAGUGUAGAGGUGAAAUUCGUAGAUAUUAGGAGGAAUACCGGUGGCGAAGGCGGCCUUCUGGGCCGGACCUGACACUGAGACGCGAAAGCGUGGGGAGCAAACAGGAUUAGAUACCCCCGUAGUCC
rnacentral:rRNA from 1 species